AUGCUGGCCAUACAGAACAAAAGAUUAGAGAGAAAACAUUGAAAAGGAAAAAUAGUUUGGACAAAAUGAUUUCUUAUUCGAUUUUUUGCUUUAUCGAGAGCACAGUGGAUUGGAAGAGUGGAAAGCAAAGGGAAAAAGCUUUUGUUAAAGUUCCUAUUACUAAACCCCACACGCUAAGGGUAAGUUUCGAAUUCAAUCCCAACGAAUUAUUAGACCCACUCUACUCUACUGUUUUGCAUUUACUUUGUG
rnacentral:misc_RNA from 1 species